ensembl:snoRNA
GCUCGAUGAUGACCGCAUAGUUCAGCAGAUUGAACCGUGAAGAUGAUCUGUUGUCUUUCGCUCCU